rnacentral:rRNA from 1 species
ACAGCAGUAGCCGCGGUAAUACGGAGGGUGCGAGCGUUAAUCGGAAUUACUGGGCGUAAAGGGUGCGUAGGUGGUUUAAUAAGUUAGCUGUGAAAUCCCCGGGCUUAACCUGGGCAGGUCAGCUAAGACUGUUAGACUCGAGUAUGGGAGAGGGUAGUGGAAUUUCCGGUGUAGCGGUGAAAUGCGUAGAGAUCGGAAGGAACACCAGUGGCGAAGGCGGCUACCUGGCCUGAUACUGACACUGAGGCACGAAAGCGUGGGGAGCAAACAGGAUUAGAUACCCCGGUAGUCCCUGUCUCUUAUAC